rnacentral:rRNA from 1 species
GGAAUCUUAGACAAUGGGGGCAACCCUGAUCUAGCCAUGCCGCGUGAGUGACGAAGGCCUUAGGGUCGUAAAGCUCUUUCGCCUGUGAUGAUAAUGACAGUAGCAGGUAAAGAAACCCCGGCUAACUCCGUGCCAGCAGCCGCGGUAAUACGGAGGGGGUUAGCGUUGUUCGGAAUUACUGGGCGUAAAGCGCGCGUAGGCGGAUGUUCAAGUCGGGGGUGAAAUCCCGGGGCUCAACCCCGGAACUGCCUCCGAUACUGGACGUCUGGAGGACGGGAGAGGCGAGUGGAAUGCCGAGUGUAGAGGUGAAAUUCGUAGAUAUUCGGCGGAACACCCGUGGCGAAGGCGGCUCGCUGGUCCGUUUCUGACGCUGAGGCGCGAAAGCGUGGGGAGCAAAC